AACGAACGCUGGCGGCAUGCCUAACACAUGCAAGUCGAACGAGACCUUCGGGUCUAGUGGUGCACGGGUGCGUACCGCGUGGGAACCUGCCCUUAGGUUCGGAAUCACUCCCCGAAAGGGGUGCUAAUACCGGCUAAUGUCUUCGGCCAAAAGGUUUAUCGCCUUUGGAUGGGCAGGCGUUGGCUUAGCUAGUUGGUAGGGUAACAGCCUACCAAGGCGACGAUCCAUAGCUGGUCUGAGAGGAUGAUCAGUCACACUGAGGCUGAGACACGGCCCAGACUCCUGCGGGAGGCGGCAGUGGGGAAUAUAGGACUGUGGGCUGAAGGCUGAUCCAGCAAUGCCUGGUGAGUGAUGAAGGCCGGAGGGAUGUAAAGCUCUUUUACCCGCGAUGAUAAUGACAGUACCGUGAGAAUAAGCACCGGCUAACUCCGUG
rnacentral:rRNA from 1 species